rnacentral:tRNA from 1 species
GCCUUCGUGGUGUAAAGGUAGCACACUCGGCUCGUAUUCGACAGGUCUAGGUUCGAGUCCCGGCGAGGGCA